AGUGAACGCUGGCGGUAGGCCUAACACAUGCAAGUCGAACGGCAGCACAGUAAGAGCUUGCUCUUACGGGUGGCGAGUGGCGGACGGGUGAGGAAUACAUCGGAAUCUACUUUUUCGUGGGGGAUAACGUAGGGAAACUUCUGCUAAUACCGAAUAUGACCUACGGGUGAAAGCAGGGGAUCUUCGGACCUUGCGCGAUUGAAUGAGCCGAUGUCGGAUUAGCUAGUUGGCGGGGUAAAGGCCCACCAAGGCGACGAUCCGUAGCUGGUCUGAGAGGAUGAUCAGCCACACUGGAACUGAGACACGGUCCAGACUCCUACGGGAGGCAGCAGUGGGGAAUAUUGGACAAUGGGCGCAAGCCUGAUCCAGCCAUACCGCGUGAGUGAAGAAGGCCUUCGGGUUGUAAAGCCCUUUUAUUAGGAAAGAAAAGCAGCGGGUUAAUACCCCGCUGUUCUGACGGUACCCAAAGAAUAAGCACCGGCUAACUUCGUG
rnacentral:rRNA from 1 species